GGGCGAGUAGUGAAAAGGUCACACACUAUGUUCGCUUUUGAUGCAGCAAUGUCGGUCGGUGGUUCGAAUCCACCCUCGUCCA